CCGACGGUGGCGAGCUGCCGGGCGGUGCCCUUUUCCGGCGGCGGCGCUCACAGGCCCUGCUCCCUCUCCCUUCCCGCUGGCCCUCUGGCCUCCAUUUUUGCUGGUGCCCCCAAUCCAUCCUCUGUUAUCCCCAUGAUCCGUCACCAUAGGAGCCAGUGAUCCAGUGAGGAUGGCCCAGAUCUAGGCAGUUGUACCUCAAGGUGCAGCGGUCCAUCGGGUCAGGGAGGUAGCGGUGGCGCAGCCCUAGGGAGGAGGUGGCUAUGGCGGCAAGAGCACAGGCCUAGGGGAAAGCAGCAGCGACGAGGGAAGUCAACACUUGGACGCAUCCCUCGCGCAUAUGGAUUCACCCUGUCCCUUUACUUCCCUUCUUCUUUAGAUUUGCACUAAAAUGGCAGCGGCUGUUCUUUCUGGAUAGGCCAGAUUGGUAACGAAGCUACCAUGCCCCUUGGUUUGAUGUCAAGGCGUUUGGUUAGGCUAUCUCUGAAUUGCGGCAAUAUGAUCAAGGUGCUCAUGGUGGCUAUUUUCGUUAGUGAUAAAAGAUCUAGUUGUCCGAGCAAAUCAUACAAGUACAAAUGUUGAUAGUUUCAUACAGUUAUGUGUUGUACAAACUAACGUCUUAGUUUUGUAGGUACUUAAGUGUAGCUUGGUUAUUACCUUAGUAUUUCGUAUGAAAUAUUGUACAAGUACAAAUGUUGAUAGUUUCAAUGAAAAUGAUGAGCAAUAUUUGUCAA